GCUGGUUCCAUGUUGUAGCUGAGGAGAAUGGAGUGGUUUGUGUGUCCUGCUCUGUGUGCUACUGCUGGAUGCUGAGAGGGAAAUUCAGGCGAGCUCUGACUUCGCGACAUGGAUGCAUUGACCUUUGAUGAUGUGCAUGUACACUUCACUCGGGAGGAGUGGUCCUUCUGGAUCCAUCUCAGAAGAGACUUUACAAAGAUGUCAUGCUGGAGAACUACAGGAAUCUCACCGCUAUAGGCUACAAUUGGAAAGACCAUAACAUUGAAGAACAUUCUCAAAAUGAUAGAAGAUAUGGAAGGCAUGAAAGAACUCCUGCUGGAGAGAAACCCUAUGAAUAUAUACAAUGGAAUAAAGCCUUCAAAUAUCACAGUCAUCUUCAAAAGCUUGAAAGAAACCAAACUGGAGACAGACACUCUGAAGUCUUUCAACAUAGUAAAGUGCUUGCAUAUCAAAGUACUCUCCAAAGAAAUAAAAGAAGAGAUACUGGAGAGAAACCCUACAAAUGUAAUAAAUGUGAUAAAGCCUUUUUACAGCUCAAGUAUCUUCGAGCACAUGAAAGAACACAUACUGGAGAGAAACCCUAUGAAUGUAAUCAAUGUGGUAAAGCCUUUUUACAUUCCAGCUAUCUUCGAAUGCAUGAAAGAACACAUACUGGAGAGAAACCUUACCAAUGUAAUCAAUGUGGUAAAGCCUUUGUACAAAGGAGUUAUCUUCAAAGCCAUAAAGUAGUACAUACUGGAGUGAGACCCUACAUAUGUAAUCAGUGUAAUAAAGCCUAUCCACGCCGGAGUUGUCUCCGAAAACAUGAAAGAACACAUACUGGAGAAAAACCUUAUAUAUGUAAUCUGUGUAAUAAAGCCUUUUCACAACAGAGUAAUCUCCGAAUACAUGAAAGAACACAUACUGGAGAGAAACCUUAUAUAUGCAAUCUAUGUGAUAAAGCCUAUUCACAACAGAGUUGUUUCCAAAUACAUGAAAAAACACAUACUGGUGAGAAACCCUAUAAAUGUAAUCAGUGUGAUAAAGGUUUUGCACAGCUCAGGUACCUUCGAGCACAUGAAAGAACACAUACUCAAGAGAAAACCUACAAAUGUAAUCAAUGUGGUAAAUCCUUUGCAUAGCUCACCUAUCUUCGAGUACAUGAAAGAAGACAUAGUGGAGAGAAACCCUACAAAUGUAAUGAAUGUGAUAAAGCCUUUUUACAGCUCAAGUAUCUUCGAGUACAUGAAAGAAGACAUAGUGGAGAGAAACCCUAUAAAUGUAAUGAAUGUGAAAAAGCCUUUUUACAUCCCAGCUUUCUUCGAAUGCAUGAAAGAACACAUACUGGAGAGAAACCCUAUGAAUGUAAUCAAUGUGGUAAAGCCUUUUUGCAACCCCAGUAUCUUCGAAAACAUGAAAAAACACAUACUGGAGAGAAACCUUGCAAAGGAGAUCAAUGUGGUAAAGCCCUUACACAAAGCAGUCAUCUUAAAACCCAUAAAGUAAUACAAACUGGUGGGAGACUCUAAAUAUGUAAUCAGUGUGAUGAAGCCUAUUCACACCGGAGUUAUCUUCUAAUACAUGAAAGAACACAUCCUGGAGAGAAACCUUAUAAAUGUAAUCAGUGUAGUAAGUCAUUUAUAUCUCACAGUCAUCAUCAAGCUGAUGAAAGAAUUUAUACUGGAUAGAAACCCUACAAAUGUAAUGAAUGUGAUAAAGCUUUUUCACAGCCCAGGUAUCUUCGAAUACAUGAAAGAACACAUACUGGAGAGAAACCUUACAAAUGUAAUCAGUGUGAUAAAGCCUUUGCACAAGGCAAUAAUUUCAAAGUGCAUACAAGGAUGCAUACUGGAGAGAUCCCUAUGAAUGUAAUCACUGUGGUAAAGCCUUUGCAUAUGACUAAUCUUUUGGGAUGCAUAAAAGAACAGAUACUGGAGAGAAACAUUACCAACAUACUCAAUGUGGUAAAGCCUUUGCAGAAAGCAGUCAUCUUCAAACCCGUAACAUACUACAUACUGGAGAGACUCUGCAAAUGUAAUCAGUGUGAUAAUGCCUCUUCACAACAGAGAGGUCUCCAAAUACAUAAAAGGAAACAUUCUGUAGAGAAACCUUAGAAAUGUAGUCAUUCUGAUGAAGCCUAUUCACAGCACAAUGGUCUUACAUACAAUAACUCAUACUGGAGAGAAACCCUAUGCAUGUAAGGGAUUUGGUAAAGCCUUUACACAUUACAAUAUGCUCCAAUAACAUAAAAAUGACCAUACUGAAGAAACUCUAUGAAUGUAAUCACAGGGUGAAGCAUUUGAACGUCACAGUAGUCUCUGGAAACAAAAAAGGAACCAUCUAGGAAAGAACUCCUAUAAAGUUCUUUAACAUGGUAAGGUCUUUGCACAUAUCUGUAGUCUUCAUCCUCAUGGAAGGAUUCAUACAGUAGAGAAACCAUAUGAACAAAAGAAAUGUGGUAAAGCUUUUGCUCAUCAAAGUUAUCUCUUAUUAUAGAAAAAAGGAGAUAUUAGAGAAAGAUCCUACAAGUAUGAUAGUAGUGAUGAAGCCAUUUAACAACACAGUUAUCUCUGACUACAUUAAAGGAAAGAUAAUGAUGACAAACACUAUGAAUGUAAUAAAUGGGGUAAGCCCAUUAUAUAACAUGGUCAUCUUUGAAUACAGAAAAUGUCAUACUAGGCAGGAACCCUAUGAAUAUAAGCAAUGUAGUAAACACAUGAAACCAUUCAUACUGGAGAGAACAGUAUUGAAGGUAUUAAAUAUGUUGAUGUCUUUGCUUGUUGCCUUGGUCUGUAGAUAAACACACAAAAAUCAUAAUGCAGAAGAGCAACCCUCCAAAUAUAAUUGACGUGAUAAAACAUUUUUAUAAGUUAUCUUUGAAUACAUUAACACAUACUGAAGAGAAAAACCUAUGAAUGUAAGCAAUAGUGUGGCACCUUUUCAUAUUAAGGUAAAAGAAUAUAUGCUCUGGAAAAACCCUCCAAAAGCAGUCUGUGAGAUGAAGCCAUUUUACAUCACAGUCAUCUUCAAAAUCAUGCAAAGAGUUGUUCUGGAGAGAAACCUUAUGAAUGUAUUUUAAAUCGUAAAGCCUUUGGAAAUUUCUAUAGCCUUCAUGAUCAUGAAAGUAUUCAUAGAGGAGUGAAACUGAAUGCAAGCAAUGUGGUAAACCCUUUGCUUACACAUCACAGUUCUCACCAAAUGCAGAAAACAACACAUACUGGUGAGAAACCUUAUGAGUAUAUUUAAUAUUGUGAAGCCUUUGCACAUUUCUGUAAUCAUCAUCAUAACUAUUUAUACUGGAGAGAAGGCCUGUGAAUUCGAGUAAUGUGGCAAACUUUUUUAUCUGCUUCCUUGUAAAACGUUUAUUUAGGAUCCCUGAGUGGUUUGACACCUGAUAACAUGGAGGUGGUUGUCAGGGAAACCAAGACUGAAAGAGAAGUCACUCUAAGGCUGGGGAAAUCAGGUAUUUACAGAGAGUCCUGGAGUAUGGAUGAACUGUCAGGGAGGGAGCCUUAAGGGUGGAAGCCAGAGGAUCUAAAGGCCAAAUAGUGGUGCUUGUGGAGACCCAGAAGACAAGCUAGCUCCUGUUGUACUUUCUGUAUCCACCAAGCUGUUUUGGCUCAGCUCCCUUCCAGGUCUUCCAUUCUUCUUGGAAACUCUAAGUAGCUGUCAAAGCCAGAACCUCAUAGUCCACCAGUUGUCAGUACCCAGUUGUUCCUUAAACUGAGGAGUCCAGACGCUGUCAUUGCUCUAAGUUAUUUGGUCGAUAGAAAUAAUGAUAUUCUAAAGAGCAUUUAUAGAUCUCCCUUUGGGUAAUAUGUAGUGAAACCAUGUACCCUUUGAAAUUUGAAUUUCCCCUAAACUCAAUCUGGGAAAGACUGGUUCCUCCAGAUGAGAAUGUCCUUGUUGAAUAAGAAAGGAAGCAACAAUUCGCAUGGGUUUACAGAUGGGAAACAUUCAUAUACAUUGGUUAGAUUUCUUAAUUGUGCAUAUAUCUUGCCUGCUAUCUGCUCACAUUAGGACCCCAAGGAUAAUUAGGUUAUAUCUUCAUCACUUGUUCAAAUAAGUCACACUGAAUAAAUACCUCAAUAAUUUU